rfam:Magnaporthe poae ATCC 64411 unplaced genomic scaffold supercont1.15, whole genome shotgun sequence.
GGGAUCGUGGCGCAGUUGGCUAGCGCGUAGGUCUCAUAUCGGAGGUGAAUUCCAACGUAUGACCUGAAAACGGGCAAUCCUAAGGUCGUGAGUUCGAGCCUCACCGAUCCCA